AAAAAUUAUUUUCCUCUGAAAAUGAUUCAAAGUGGAAAUUGGAAAAUUGCAAUGUUGUCUGACAGCUCAUUCAUGUAGCAUUUAUUAGUAAAAAAAUGAAUAUAAGCAAUCAGGGAAUUAAAUUAGAUCUUCACAGAAAUCAAGGCCUUGAAAUCAAGAUUUGUAAUGAGUUUACUUACAUAUUUGUAGGUAUAGGCUGUACUUUAGAAGUCUUCAGAAUCACAUCAUUUUUUUUUUGAGGAACUGUUAGAUUGUUUUCAUAAUUAGUAAUAGUUCUUAUUGUUGCUUGAUGCUUUUACAAGGAAAUGUCAUAAUACUUUACAAAUAAGAACUGCUUGCUACAAAGGUUGAGACAGAUUUGCUUAGGAUGCUGCCACCUUCAGGAAAUUUUACCUUGUGAUAAGUUUGCAUCUAUGAUAUUGGGGAACACAUUUCUCUUUAAGGGGUGUUAAAAAUUCGCUGUGUUCAUGUUAUGAUUUUUUUUUUCUUUACCUGGUAACAAAGAGUUGAAUAGCACUUUUGAUAUUAAGAUUUUCUAUUUUGGAAAGUAUUUGAAAGGGGUUAUGUUACUCCAUUAAGAAAAACAAAAUUUUCAAAACUAAUAAAGACAUGAUGUGAAUUUUAAAUACUUUUAAAUGUUAUACCUGACUUGGAAAAUUACAUAUACCACUGCAAAUAGUUUGAGAAAUAAUUAAAUAAUUUUCCUGCUUAGAAGGGAUUAAAUAAUAAAGCAGUUUACUUAUAAUUUCUUGUGCCUUUUAAUUAUGUGGCUAUUAAUAUAGUUAUGCUUAAUUCCCUAAGAUGUGCUCAAGAAAACUACGCUUUUAUCUUGAAAAUAAUUUUCACUCAAUGUUGGGAUGAAAUAUUAUGGAUUAUCUUGAGGGUUGUUUUGAGG
rnacentral:lncRNA from 1 species